CUUGUCCCCCAGGGCUCUGGGAUGAUAGAUGGUCUCCCCGCGUCCUUGGCCCAGGUAUUGGCUCAGAUCUGCUGGACGCUGUUGCCAGAGUCUGCCACAGCGACACGGCACCUUUGGAUCGGUGGACACUGGGCAGUAGCACAUCUGUGGCUGGGGUCGGAUGCCUGGCUCAGUCCCCACGACUGUCACACAUGAGGUUGGGCCCGUGACCCUUCAUGCACUCCUCCGUCUGCCAUCCACGUGCCCAGCCUCCCUGCCUGCUCCUCCCCAGCAGGGCUGGCGCAGGGUGUGGUCAGCGAAAGGCUGCCUGCUGGCUGCUGUGCCUGCCGCGAUGCCCUGCCCACCUGUGUCCUGGGCUCCGGUUUCCUGGCUGAGUGGACCCACCCACCCUGAGGCUCUGGAGAAAGACUGGACCCAUGUGGGACGGACCACCAACCCCGCUCCAGUGUCGCAUCACCAGGUACCAGGUGUUGUUUAAAUGCAGCAAGUCUUGCACGCAGAGGUCCCGACCUGCAGUGCACAUAGCUGCCGGCGCUUGUUUCCAGACCCAUUGCAGAACUACGAGCAGUCAAGAAGAAAAAGACAAAUAACCCAACAAAAAAUAAGCAAAGGACUUAAACAGGUACUCCUCAAAGAGGGGCCAGGAAGCCGAACAUAGGAUGUCACUGCAAGGGAAGGGCAUUGAAGACCACAGGAGACACCGAACACCCCGCCUGGGCCAGCGCUGCUGAGGAUGUGGGAUCCCGAGCUGUUCUUGGUGCGGCAUGGAAGUUUCCUGUGUUGCUAGACUGAGCACUAGAGGUUGCAGAUGCUGCUCUUUAAGGGGGAUUCGCCAUGAGCCUGGUACCCCGGGAACCCCAAAGGCCCUGCCUUCUUGAAAGACUAGGGAGCACUGGGUUCCAUCCCUGGAGUUCACCCACCAGUGCCCAGGGCAUGUGAGCAGGAGGCCCCCGACUGCAGAGUGGCUCUUGGCUCCAAAUCCGAAGAUCUCACAACUGCACGAUGAUUACUGGAGUGACGUUGCUCCCCGAGCUCACAGACACCUCAGUGGACGCCGUGAUGUUCAGAACACAUCAGGCCCUCAUCCCUGCUUUGCUAGGUCGCGGCCAGCACUGCACCCUGCAGGAGUGGCUGAGUCUUCAUGCCCUGGGUGCCCCAGAGUGACUGCACACUUCCUGCUGCCCCCACGCCUCCAGCCAAGGCUGCGGUAGACCCAGGCCUAGGGACUGGGAGGGUCCUGGGAAGGGGCAUCCCACACGAGGACCAGUGGCCGAGCCCCCUGGCUGACCCAAGCUGGGCAGCAGGGUGGGAGCAUCAGGUACAGAGCAGCCUCAGGCGAUGGUACCACUCUGCGCACACAGCUCGGGGCCCACACACCCUACUUGGGGUCACAUCUCGGACAUCACCAAAGCUUGAACUUUAAGACACACGCCUGUCAUCCCAGCACCCCGGGAGGCUCAGGCGGGAGGAUUGCAAGUUCAAGAGCAGUUUAAGCAGUUUAGGGACUUGGUGAGGACCUUGUCUCAAAGAAGGACUUACACAGUGUGUGUGUGUGUGUGUGUGUGUGUGUGUGCAAAGACCCUGGGUCCAAGCUCAGUAUCACAAAGCUUAGCACUUAGGAAUGAAGCUGCCUCUCCUUGCCACAGUACAGCUGUGCGUGGGUACAAUACCACUGAAGGGGCCAACACCUGCUGGCCACACUUGCGUUAUCUCAGGUCCUUACAAACCAUGUGGUGCCUGUGCCUUCUCCCAGGGACUCCCCCAUGGGAGCCUCUGCACUGGGCAGCAGAGGGGCGUGGGUGGGGUGGCAUCAGUGACCAGGGAUUUGGUUAUUUCCUUUUGUCCCUCAGCCCUCAACGCUGCCCAGCCGCGUGUGUCCCUGCGGCCACGCUGUGUCCCUUCAUGCCUGGGCAGACUCUCGCGCAGGGAAGGGGAAAUGGCUCUGACCUGUGCUCCUGCCAGCGGCCAUCAGGGCUGGGGUGCAGGGUGGGGCUGCCCCUCAGUCCUUCUCCAGGCCAUUUGUGAGGGGCUCAGCCCCUGGGGUGGGGAGCUGGUGGGGGCCCUGCUGUGUAGGAGGAAGCUUCAGGUCUGCUGCCGCCUGUGGUUUGGGUGAGGCAGUGACAGGACUAUGACAGGACAGCGCUGAUCUUUCCCAGGACCUGGCCCAUCUGCUGCUUCCUCUGGCAGGUUCUCUGCUGUGGGCGCCAUUGCUCCGGCCUCUUCCUGAGCUGUCCCGCUGUCCUCCAGGGCCCUGUGCCUCACUGUGCCUGGCACUGAGGUGGGGCAGGAGCCCAGCUCUGUCCUCACUGAGGGAGGGGCACCAGGGCGGCCUGUGGCCUCAUCCUCUGAGACCCAGUGCCACCCACCCAGAGGGGCCACGCAGCCUGGCUUCACCUUGUUUUUGCUCCUCCAUUGACGUAGCACUUCCCCUGCCCAGUGAGUCUCUGCCUCACCUGCCAUUUUCUACUUUUAUAGCUAAUGUAUCUUAUUCUUACAUUUGUGUAUUUUACACAAUGACACAGGCGCACGUACGGCAUAUGAUGCAUUCUGCUUUUUUCUCUGUGUCUUUCACCCUGGCCUGACCCCCCUGGUGAGCGCCCAGCCUGGGCCACACAUGCUCCACAAGCCCAGGCACAGAGGCCGCCUCGCUCCUCCAGGGUCCCCAUCCCAGGCGGUGCCCAGUCUUCUGGCCUCUGGUGGCGACACCUGUACCUGACUCACGGGUCCCCGCCUAUCCCUGUGCCCGGAGUCGGACUGUUCCCCCUGACAGCUUGGCAGUGUGUGAGAGGCCAGGCCCACGAAACAGCAGAGCAAACAGCGGGGCACAGCUGGGGACUCAGGCACGGCUGUUUAUGAGGGCUCUGGAGGCUGCCUCACAGCACUGUGUUCUGUUGAGAAUCUGAUUAUUAAUUUUCAUGUAAACAAUUAUCUAGUAACCAAUAAAAGUGUUCAU